UUAGGAAUAUUGCGCAAUGGGGGAAACCCUGACGCAGCAACGCCGCGUGAGUGAGGAAGGCCUUCGGGUUGUAAAGCUCUUUUAGCAGGGAAGAAAUCACUGACGGUACCUGCAGAAGAAGCACCGGCUAACUCCGUGCCAGCAGCCGCGGUAAUACGGAGGGUGCAAGCGUUAUUCGGAAUUACUGGGCGUAAAGCGCACGUAGGCGGUUUACUAAGUCUGAUGUGAAAUCCCACGACUCAAUCGUGGAAGUGCGUUGGAUACUGGUGGACUGGAGUGUUGGAGGGGAGAAGGGAAUUCCUGGUGUAGAGGUGAAAUUCGUAGAUAUCAGGAGGAACAACGGAGGCGAAGGCGCUUCUCUGGACAACAACUGACGCUGAGGUGCGAAAGCGUGGGGAGCGAACAGGAUUAGAUACCCCCGUAGUCC
rnacentral:rRNA from 1 species